rnacentral:rRNA from 1 species
UAAGGAAUAUUGGACAAUGGAGGCAACUCUGAUCCAGCCAUGCCGCGUGAAGGAUGAAGGUGCUAUGCAUUGUAAACUUCUUUUGAACGGGAGAAAACCCUAGGUCGUGCACCGGGGCUGAUAGUACCGUUAGAAUAAGGGUCGGCUAACUUCGUGCCAGCAGCCGCGGUAAUACGAAGGACCCGAGCGUUAUCCGGAUUUAUUGGGUUUAAAGGGUGCGUAGGCGGAAUAGUAAGUCAGUGGUGAAAGCCUGUUGCUUAACAACAGAACUGCCAUUGAUACUACUAAUCUUGAGUACAUAUGAUGUGGGCGGAAUGUGCCAUGUAGCGGUGAAAUGCUUAGAUAUGGCACAGAACACCGAUUGCGAAGGCAGCUCACAAAACUGUUACUGACGCUGAGGCACGAAAGCGUGGGGAUCAAACAGGAUUAGAUACCCGGGUAGUCC